rnacentral:rRNA from 1 species
CAGCAGCCGCGGGAAUACGUAGGGUGCAAGCGUUAAUCAGAAUUACUGGGCGUAAAGCGUGCGCAGGCGGUUCGCUAAGACAGAUGUGAAAUCCCCGGGCUUAACCUGGGAACUACAUUUGUGACUGGCGGGCUAGAGUAUGGCAGAGGGGGGUAGAAUUCCACGUGUAGCAGUGAAAUGCGUAGAGAUGUGGAGGAAUACCGAUGGCGAAGGCAGCCCCCUGGGCCAAUACUGACGCUCAUGCACGAAAGCGUGGGGAGCAAACAGGAUUAGAUACCCCCGUAGUCCCUGUCUCUUAUAC